rnacentral:tRNA from 1 species
GCCUGGCUGGCUCAGUGGGUGAAGCAUGUGACUCUUGAUCUCAGGGUUGUAAGAUUGAGUCCUAUGUUGGGUG